CCUACGGGGAGCAGCAGUGAGGAAUAUUGGUCAAUUGACGCAAGUCUGAACCCGCCAUGCCGCGUGCAGGAAGACGGCUCUAUGAGUUGUAAACUGCUUUUGUACGAGGGUAAACGCAGAUACGCGUAUCUGUCUGAAAGUAUCGUACGAAUAAGGAUCGGCUAACUCCGUGCCAGCAGCCGCGGUCAUCCGGAGGAUUCAAGCGUUAUCCGGAUUUAUUGGGUUUAAAGGGUGCGUAGGCGGUCGGAUAAGUUAGAGGUGAAAUCCCGAGGCUCAACUUCGGAAUUGCCUCUGAUACUGUUAGGCUAGAGAGUAGUUGCGGUAGGCGGAAUGUAUGGUGUAGCGGUGAAAUGCUUAGAGAUCAUACAGAACACCGAUUGCGAAGGCAGCUUACCAAGCUACUUCUGACGUUGAGGCACGAAAGCGUGGGGAGCAAACAGGAUUAGAUACCCCAGUAGUC
rnacentral:rRNA from 1 species